GACGAACGCUGGCGGCGUGCUUAACACAUGCAAGUCGAACGGAAAGGCCUGCUUUCCCUUGUGGAUUGCGGGUACUUGAGUGGCGAACGGGUGAGUAACACGUGAGUGAUCUGCCCCCAACUUGGGUAUAAGCCUGGGAAACUGGGUCUAAUUCCCGAUAGGACUGCAGGGUGGUGCCUGUGGUGGAAAACGAUUUUCUAGUGGUUGGGGAUGAGCUCGCGGCCUAUCAGCUUGUUGGUGGGGUAAUGGCCUACCAAGGCGGCGACGGGUAGCCGGCCUGAGAGGGUGGACGGUCACAUUGGGACUGAGAUACGGCCCGGACUCCUACGGGAGGCAGCAGUGGGGAAUAUUGCACAAUGGGCGGAAGCCUGAUGCAGCGACGCCGCGUGGGGGAUGACGGCCUUCGGGUUGUAAACUCCUUUCGACCGCGAGGAAGCCACCUGGUUGGAAGGGUGGUGACGGUAGUGGUAGAAGAAGCACCGGCUAACUACGUG
rnacentral:rRNA from 1 species